GCUUGGCGGCAGGCUUAACACAUGCAAGUCGAACGCCAUCUUCGGAUGGAGUGGCAGACGGGUGAGUAACGCGUGGGAACGUACCCUUUGGUUCGGAAUAUUCUCGGGAAACUGAGAGCAAUACCGGAUAAGCCCUACGGGGGAAAGAUUUAUCGCCAAAGGAGCGGCCCGCGUCAGAUUAGGUAGUUGGUGGGGUAAAGGCCUACCAAGCCUACGAUCUGUAGCUGGUCUGAGAGGAUGAUCAGCCACACUGGGACUGAGACACGGCCCAGACUCCUACGGGAGGCAGCAGGUGGGGAAUCUUGGACAAUGGGCGCAAGCCUGAUCCAGCCAUGCCGCGUGGAUGAUGAAGGCCUUAGGGUUAGUAAAAUCCUUUCAACGGGGACGAUAAUGACGGUACCCGUAGAAGAAGCCCCGGCUAACUUCGUG
rnacentral:rRNA from 1 species